AUAAGAUUUAAUCUUUUUUGUUUUGUUUUGUCUCGAUCUUUAAAGAGAAAAGAUAAUAAUAUCGAGCUCGAGAACACUGUGUUUGGUGUGUCACUGGUUCGAGGGUUGGGGAUUCACAAUAAAGUAGCUAACAGGAUAUACAUCAACGAAGAUACACAUGGUCACAGAAUGAAACACUGGUGUCCGGCGCAGGGCACAUUCUGCGUGUGAACCUUGGCGUGCUGAUUUAAAAUGCAGUUUCCUGGACUCCACAUUACAUCUACUGAAUCAGUCUCCAGGGAUAAAGCCCUUGAAUCUGAGAUUUGAUCAGGGCUCUAAGUAAGCUUCACGUACAUUAUAGUUUGACAAGCACAGCUCCAGGCAUGGAUGGGACUCGACAUAAUUUCCUAGGUGUUUUAUCCAGCUGCUAAUCUUUAACUAUAUGAAGAAAAUAACACAAAGUUUUUGUUUUUUUCCUAUGAAAUUGCAAAUAAUAUAUUAUCACUCCACGUUCCCUACAAUUAUUGCAAGAUAUUUUUGGUAGCAUAUAAUUGGUACAUUAGUGUAGUCAUUCAUACAAAACAAGGGUGAAAAGAUGUAUUUUAUUUAACAUAUGAUUCAGUGUUAGAAUUCACAAACAAGAAUUAACACUUUUAAAGAGCACAGAAGACUCAGCCAUGAACACAGAGGAUGGAAGUUUUAUGCUGAAAUCAUGAAGGAGAAGAUACCAGUGAACCUUGCUGACUCAUUUCCAGUACACAGUGGCCUGAGGAUCCUGGACAAAAAUCUCAUAGAGCCUGCUCUUCCUCAUUACACUUUUCAAGUAACUGCUUUGUAAUUUAUCCCUAUUAGUCUGACCUUUAAUUCUUAGAUUUUGUAAGUGCUGUUUCAGAAAAAGCAACAAGGAAAGACCCUGAAGCAACGAAACAAGCUCUUCAACCUUCAUAGCUUUGAUAACAGGUGCAAGUUUUGAAUGAACUAUGUGACUUUUUUAUUGAUAAAGCUGAUGCAUUUAGAUGACCCAUAUUUGGCAUAAGAGGAAUUGACUAAGGGUCAAAUUCUUAGAUGUCCCCCAGACUAGAGGGAAAGGCUACAGAACCAGCUGUUUCUUCUUUCCAUAAUUGCAGUAUUUAUUAAUUUUUCUUUCGUGUAGACAAACUUAAAUAAUUCAUAGCUGUAUAAUGAUAUUUUGCUUCUGCUAUAUCUACUAAUUUUCCUAAGUCUGCUCAUAUGAUUACUAGAAGAUAUAAUUAAAAGAAAUGAUGGGCAAAUAUUUUGUCUCUGUAGCCCUAAUACUAAAAGCAUUUACUAGACAAUAUAAUUGAAAAUAAAUUUUCAACAAAUUAGAAAAAUAUUAAAAUA
rnacentral:lncRNA from 1 species